GCGCGGAUAGCUCAAUCGGCAGAGCGGCGGUUUCCACAGCCGUGUCACAUUGGCGAUAUACAGACAGCGGAACCGGCGUCUAGCCAGCAAAGGGAAACCUGAAUGUAGUGGUGGUUCGACUCCAUCUCCGCGUGCCA
rnacentral:tRNA from 1 species